UACGGAGGGUGCGAGCGUUGUCCGGAAUCACUGGGCGUAAAGGGCGCGUAGGCGGCCUGAUAAGUAGGGGGUGAAAUCCUGCGGCUUAACCGCAGGGCUGCCUUCUAAACUGUCAGGCUGGAGCACAGUAGAGGCAGGUGGAAUCCCGGUGUAGCGGUGGAAUGCGUAGAGAUCGGAAAGAACACCAACGGCGAAAGCACUCUGCUGGGCCGACACUGACACUGAGAGACGAAAGCUAGGGGGAGCGAACAGG
rnacentral:rRNA from 1 species